CCACUGUCUACCCCUCUACUCCUUCACUAAAUUAUACUUCCUGUCCAGCUAUACAGUUACAACUUUUGCCUUCCUGCUGAAUCUAAUUUUUAGGGAUAAAGGGAGAACAUAAAAAUUCUGUCCCAAAAAGAAGCUAAACUCUUCCUGAACUAAGUCUAAGUAGUAGAAGAGAUAAUUAGGAGCCAACUCUGGCUUUAUUUAAAAUAUAUUUACUUUAUUUAAAUUAGCAUUGGUUAACUUUAAAAAAAAGGGGGGGACUUGCUAAGGCUGGUCUUCAACUACAGGCAUGAAAAGAUCCUCCCAACCUCAGCCUCACAAGUAGCUGGGAUUACAGGUGCAAGCCACUGUGCCUGACAGCAUUGGUUAACUUUAACAUAACAUUACUGCUUCAGUCACAGCAGUCUCAUUCAAUCUAGUAAAUCAUGGGAAGCUAAAGCAAAUAAAAGAUAAUGGUCUCUUUGUGACAUUACUGUUCCACUAAGCUGUUCCUAAUUUCUUUUUUACUUCAAAGUAUUCUUUACUAUAACAGGAAAGUGUUUUGUGUAGUGAAGUUCCUCUGUAAGACUGGCUGGAUUUGAAUUCCAGCUUCAACACUUACUAGCUAGACAAGGUGUUUAAUGAAUAAUCAAUUUUCUGCAAGAAAAAAUGGCGAAGAAUAUUUACCUCAGCUGGGCGCAGUGGCUCAUGCCUAUAAUCCCAGCACUUUGGGAGGCCGAGGCAGGCAGAUCACUUGAGGCCAGGAAUUCAAGACCAGCCUGGCCAACAUGGCAAAACCCCGUCUCUACUAAAAAUACAAAAAACUAGCUGGGCAUGGUGGUGCAUGCCUGUAAUCCCAGCUACUCGGGAGGCUGAGGCUGGAGAAUCGCUUGAGCCCAGAAGGUAGAAGAUGCAGUGAGUCAAGAUCACACCACUCCACUCCAGCCUGGGCAACAGACGAGAGACUCUGUCUCCAAAAAAAAAAAAAAAAAAAAAAAUAGAAAAGAAUAUUUACCUCAUAGAGCCAUUAUAUAGAAUAGAUAAUAUACAUAAAAUGCUUAGCAUAAGGCCUAGUCCACGUUAAUAAAUAAAUAAAGCUAACUAUUAACAUUGUCACACCGCACUGUGCAGAAAGCUACCUCCAGUAGGAAAGGGAUGUUCCAUCUGGACACUAUGGAACACAUUCAAACCUAGAGGUUUUUUCCAUUACAGAAGGUUCCCAAUUUAGGAUGGUUCAACUUAUGACUUUUUGACUUUACGAUGGCGCAAAAGUGAUACACAUUCAGUAGAAACUGCACUUCAAAUUUUGAUCUGCUUUUCCACUUUGAGUAUUCAAUAAAGUAAAUGAGAUAUUCAGCACUUUAUUACAAGGUAGGUUCUGCGUUAGAUGAUUUUAUCCAACUGUUGACUAAUGUUCAUAUUCUAAGAAUGUUUAAGGUAGGCUAGGCUAAGCUAUGAUAUUUGGUAGGUUAAAUAUAUUAAAUGCAUUUAUUUUCAACUGAUUUAUCGGGACGUAAGUCAAACAGCAUUAACUAAACCACCACUGAAAGCAACUUCACCACAAAACCACUAGAAGACUGAGGCAGGUGAUGUAUUGGGCAAAGCAAUAUUCAGUCCUUUUCCACCAACAGAAUAUACAGUUCUUAAACUUAGCACAGCUGUGUUUGCCCCGGUGUAAUUAUGGAACACAGUAGUCUCCAAAAGCAAAAUUUUAAAAUUACUUUUUAAAUAAUGGAAAUAAUACUUUCAAAUAUAAGUAUUUAAAAUGUAAACUAUUUUAUAGCUAACUUUCUUACGUUAUACCCUUUCUUCUCUUCACACAUAUAGCAAAUGUUUUUUGAGGCCAGGCUCAUGUCUAUAAUCCCAACACUCUGGGAGGCCAAGGCAGGUGGAUCACUUGAGCCCAGGAGUUCAAGACCGGCCUGGGCAAUGUGGCAAAACCCUGUGGUGUGCGUAUGUACUCCCAGCUACUUGGGAGGUUGAAGUCAGAGGAUCACUUGAACUUGGGAGGUCAAGACUGCAGUGUUCACACCACUGCACUCCAGCCUGGGAGACAGAGCCAGAUCCUGUCUCAAAAAAAAUAAUAAUAAUUUUUUGAGCAUCUAUUAGGCACCUGGAAUACAGUGAACAAAUAGACAAAGCCCUCAAGGAACUAACAUUCUGGUAGUAAGAGAGACAAUAGUCAUAAUAAGUAAAUUCUACAGAGCAUGUUUCAAGGAGGUAACUGCUAAACAGACUAGGGUAAGGAAGCUUAGAAGUGCAAGCAAAGAGGGGCAGUUAUAAUUUUAAGUAGGGUGAUCAGUACAGACUUAAGAAGGUGAUAGAUGAGAAAACAUUUUAAGGAGGUAAGGAAUGAAGAUUUAUCUAAGGAAUAGCGUUCUAGACACAGGGAACAGCAAAUGCAAAUCCUAAGGAAAGCAUAUGCGUACCCGAUUAACACCACCACCAAUACCUAACAAAUAAGCAAAAAUGUCAGCCACUGCUGUUAAGUUUCUAUAUCCCUCUCUCCACACACACACACAAAUCUGUGCUAGGGAAGGAAAAAAAAAAACCACACUUCAUAAAAAUUCAUUCAUUCAACAAAUGUUUACUGAACAAUACCCAUGUGCUAGGUCCCACUUUCCGUGCUAAGGAUACAGAAAAGAACAUGACAGGCAAUACUUUCUAUUCUGUCACAGGAACCUUAGCAAAGAACCUGAGGUUGAUCACAAUGCCCAUUUACUAAGCAAUACUUUUUUCCUACUCCUUGGCUUAUUAAGCCUUCAUUGAUUUAAAAAAAAAAAAAGCAGAGAUUUACAGAAAUCUUACCUCCAGAUAAGUGAGACGAUACUGUACUCAAAGUAUCUCAAAGUCUCUAUCUUCAGAUUAUAGAUAUCAGGCCCUUACAAAGUUUCUUUACCUAGUGCCAGGUACAGUGGCUUAUGCCUGUAAUCCCAGUGCUUUGGGAGGCCAAGGUAGGAAGAACCCUUGAGGUCAAAGUUCAAGACCAGCCUGGCCAACAUGGCAAGGGUUAACCCCAUCUUCUACUAAAAACACAAAAAUUAGCUGGGUGUGGUGGCACACACCUGUAAUCCCAGCUACUCGAGUGGCUGAGGCAUAAGAAUCAUCUGAAACCAGCAGCGGAGCCUGCAGUGAGCCGAGAUUGUGCCAAUGCACCACAGCCUGGGUGGCAGAGUGAGAACCUGUCUCAGAAAAAAACAAGGCCGGGUGCGGGGUGGCUCACAUCUGUAAUCCCAGCACUUUGGGAGGCCAAGGCGAGUAGAUCACCUGAGGUCAGGAGUUCGAGACCAGCCUGGCCAACAUGGUGAAACCCCGUCUCUACUACCAAUACAAAAAUUAGCCGGGUGUGGUGGCACACGCCUGUAAUCCCAGCUACUAGAGAGGCUGAGGGAGGAGAACUGCUUGAACCUGGGAGAUGGAGGCUGCAGUAAGGUGAGAUUGUGCCACUGCACUUCAGCCUCAGUGAAAGAGUGAGACUCCGUUUCAAAAAAAAAGGAGAAAAGUUUCUUUACCUAAAGAACUGACAUUUUAAAAGUACUAACAUCUACCCCUCCCUCUCACCCAGAAGAGCCAAAACAUUGCUAUUGGGAGUCUAAUCUACUAUGCCACAGUACCUAUGGUAGCUAAGUAGGAGGUCUCUGCUAUCUAAGACUUCAUCAGGUGGUAUGGGGAAAACAUGCAUAUAUAUCCUUUCUUUUAAUGCUCCCAUUUCCUACUUUAAAAGUAAGUACAGGCCGAGCACAGUGGCUCACACCUGUAACGCCAGCACUUUGGGAGGCAGAAGGGUCUUGAGUCUAACAGUUAAGACCAGCCUGUGCAACAUGGUGAAACCACAUCUCUACUGAGAAAAAUACAAAAAUUAGCCAGGCAUGGUGGUACACGCCUGUAGUCCCAGAUACUCUGGAGGCUGAGGUGUGAGGAUCACUUGAGCCUAGGAGGUAGAGGCUGCAGUGAGCUGUGUUGGCACCACCACACUCCAGCCUGAAUGACAGAGCAAGACCCUGUCUCAAAAAAGAAAAAAAAAAAUGUAAAUACAGCUUAUAAUACUACCCAGUGGCAUAGAAAAUUACUAUGAAGUUUUUCCUUAAGUCCCAACCAAAAGCUCAUAGUUAAAAAUAUAAUUAAGGACACUUAACAUUCUAUUUAAAAAAUUACAGUUUAAGCAGAAUACAUAUCAUGUAAUGUAUCUGAACCCAUUUAGCAAUCAGAGAAUAAAAAGAAAACACAACAAAAAAUAUUAUAUAAAAAGAACCAAAAAAUAUAUAUUACUUUCUUUUUCCCCAUUAGGUUAAAGGGUACUUUAAGAUCAGUUAAAAAUAUGUUUCUGAAUGUUAAGAAAUGUAUGUGAUAGAAAACAGGACCAAAGAAAAUUAAUGCUAAAUUAACUUUAUACAUGAAUUGAUUUUUUUUCUUUUUUAAAGAAAUGAGGUCUUACUUUGUCACGCAGGCUGGAGAGCGGUGGUGCAAUGACAGCCCACUGUAACCUUGAACUCCUGGGCUCAAGCGAUCCUCCCAUCUCAGCCACCCCCACAUAGCUGGGACUACAGGUGCACUCCACUAUGCCCAGCUAUUUUUUUUCUAAAGACAGGGUCUCCCUAUGUUGCCUAGGGUGGUCUCAAACUUCUGGGCUCAAGCAAUUCUCCUGCCUUGGCCUCCCAAAGCACUGGGAUUACAGGUGCAUGUCACUACACCUGUCUAAUUUGUUGGGGUUUUUAUUAGAGGUGGGGUCUUGCUAUGUUGUCCAGGCUGGUCUCCAAUUCUUGGCCUCAAGCAAUCCUCCCCACUUCACCUCCUGAAGUGAGGAGGCAUAAGCCACUAUGCCCAGCCCUAACCUACUUUUUAAUUUAAAAACUCCUAAAGAAUACAUUAUUACCCUGUUUUCCUGUCAGUUCACAGUGACAUGUUUGUGAGUAGAAGGGUUUCUCAUCUACCUUUAACCAUCAAUCUUCUGCUACAAUUGGCCUAAAUAAAAUGAAAACAUGCUGCAUAUGCUUCACCCCAACUAGCAUUACAUUAGCUAACUGUGUAAUCCAUGCUUUCUAGGUAUCAUCAGUAUGUAAGCAUAGAAGUAUUUUCUCUACCUACAUGUCCUAUCAGGCAAAUUAGAGCUACCCUCUGUCAUUUUUUUACCUAUGAAAUUAGCAAAUACAAAAACUGUGUCAGCAAGGAUAUGAGAAAACAAGUGUAUUGUCCAACUGCAAAUACUCUUUGAUCCAGUAGUUCCCCUUCUAAAAAUGUAUCCCACAAAACACCAUCUGAGGCCAGGCAUGAUGGCUCAUGCCUAAAAUCAUAGCACUUUGGGAGGCCAAGGCAGGAGGAUCACUUAAGGUCAGGAGUUCAAGACGAGCAUGGCCAACAUGGUGAAACCCCCUGUCUCUACUAAAAAUACAAAAAAAAAACUAGGUGGGCAUGGUGGCAGGUGCCUGUAAUCCCAGCUACUCAGGUGGCUGAGGCAGGAAAAUCACUUGAACUCCGGAGGCAGAAGUUGCAGUGAGCUGAGAUAGUGCCACUGCACUCCAGCCUGGGCAACAGAGACUCUGUCUCAAAAUAAAUAAAUAAAAAUAAAUCUGAAUAAGGUUAUUCACUGCAGCAUUGUUUAUAAUGGGAAAAAAAGAUAAUAAAGACUGCAUUUCUCAACCUUCUUUGCAUUCAGAUGUGGCUAUGACACUAAGUUCUAACUAAUGAAACAUAAUUCAAACUGCUAUGAAGUGACAGCUUCUAGAAACCUUCCUUUAAAAGGGUAACAUAGAACCUCUGCCCUUUCAUGCACCCUGCUGC
rnacentral:lncRNA from 1 species